AUCACUUCUCAGCCUUUUGGCUAAGAUCAAGUGUAGUAUCAAAUGGAAGAUAGAUGGCUUGAUAGAUGGCUUGGUCUCCUAGAUGUUCUGAUUUGGGGGUGAUACUAUGCUUUUUGAAUCAAGCCUUAGAAAAAUC
ensembl:snRNA U2 U2 spliceosomal RNA